UGAUCCGACAAAGUACCAGAUGCAAGCAGCCAUUGCCGUGGCCGGGAACUCCGGGACUCAAAAUCUGCACCGUUCUGGACUUUGCGACAAGGGAAGGAAACAGCUCCAUCCAUUUGUUCUGGACAAAGUAACCGAGAGGGUCCAUCGGCCAUGGACACAUCCUCGCAUGCUCUUCCAAGUUCAAGACCUCCACGGUGCUACCACCUCUUCGGAUCCACAGCGGCUCGUUCGUGUUGCACAUCCUGACCAGGUGAUCUGCUGCCGUCAUUGCCAGGUCGAGAACCAAUGGCCUGUCUUGGUCCAUGAUGAGCAUGCCAGGGAACGGCGAGGGCUCAUCGGAGAUCUGCGGGAUGGGGAUCAGGUCGGUGCAGCUCACCACCGGCGGCUCGUGGAAGUGUCUGGAGUAGAUGCCCAUGUCAAGGUCAAGAGAGGGGAGCAGUAGAGGCGGUGCCGGCCCUAAUGGCUGCAACUGCCGGCCACUGUAACGCGACGCGAUGCAGGAUAGACGCUCAAGCUGCACAUUGAAGUGGUGAACAGAGGAAAUGAUAGCAAGAGCAAGUGCAUGUGGAGGUAACGUCGUUCUGGGAGGAGCUAGGGUUAGGGUUCAGUACCUCGUCCUUGAGCCGGGCGUUCUCGAUGCGCAGUUGCUGCUCGUCGAAGGACAUCUCGCCGAGGAUGGCCGGGCCGCCGCAGCUGGGGCAGACGACGUUGCGAAUGGCUGCCUGCAGCCGGAAGUUGUCGUUCUUCAGGCUCUCGUUCUCCGCUCGCAGCACCACGUUGUCCGUCCGGUCUUGUUGAGCCUGCAGCGUGCCGCAGUUACAAUCCCAUGCAUAUCAGUAAGCUUUCUUCCACAACGAAUAGCAUCUAAUUCUUGUAUCAUUGUUGGUACUGAUGCAUGAAUGAAGGGUUGCAGACGCACCUUCAUCUGAGUCCGGCGGUUCUGGAACCAGAACUUGACCUGGCGAGGCUUAAGGCCGAGUUCUUGGCUUAGCUUCAUCCUCUGCUUCUCGUCCGGGUGAGGGCACUCCUUAAACAUCCUAUUAAUGGCCAUCGAAUCAUAUCA